GAAAUGCGAUACGUAAUGUGAAUUGCAAUUUUUAGUGAACCAUCGAAUCUUUGAACGCACAUUGCGCCCUCUGGUAUUCCGGGGGGCAUGCCUGUUCGAGCGUCAUUACAACCCUCAAGCUAUGCUUGGUAUUGGAUUUGACUUCAUUUUUUAAUGUAGUCAAUCUCAAAGAUAUUGGCGGUGCCCAGCGUAGCCUUGGAGCGUAGUAAUCUCGAUACCGCCCUCAAGAUACCUGGAUACCUGCCUCGUGCUAUUUUAUUGGUUGACCUCGGAUCAGGUAGGGAUACCCGCUGAACUUAA
rnacentral:misc_RNA from 1 species